CCGAUCCUUCUCUCCUAGCUAGCUGCCAUACCACAGCACGUAGUACGUUCUAGCCUCUUCUCCACUUAAUAGCUGUUAUGGAACAGACGAAUGUCAGGUUGCCCCAGCUGGCCAAGAUAGCAGCGCUCCUCCUCCUCUUCCUCCUCGUCCCCAUGGUGCCUCCUUCUCUGAGGGCCCCUUAUCUCUACCUCCUCUUCAACGCCCUCGUCGUCGGCCUUGGUGUCCAGGCCGGCAUCAUCUCCGUCUCAAGCCGGAGCAACUUAACAGCCCAGCCUCCUGCCCCUGCCCCUGCUGCUGCUGUAACUCCCAACCACCAUCACCACCUUGUCACUUCACAGCCGCCGAUCAUGGCGGCCCCCUUGCCAGGACGACUCAGGGAGGUAAAUCUGCUUGCAGAUCGUGGUGCUGUCAACAACGUCGUGGCCGUGGCCAAGAAACUGAAGGAGACGAUCAAGAAAGUCCCGUCCAGGGCGAGCAUCUUCUUCAUCGGGAGCCUGGACCCCCAUGACGCCGGCGAGGUCGUGGACGCGACGUCAAAGACGCUCCACGACAAGGAAGGGCGGCAAAGGUGCAAGGUAGACGCCUCCUCCGGGGAUCUCAUGAGCAAGCAGGAACUUUACGCCAAGGCCGACGCCUUCAUCGGCAACUUCUACAAGCAGCUCAAGAUGCAGAGGGAGGAGUCAUGGAACAAGCUGCAGGACCUGUGCAGCUACCACCACCACCACAACUACAAGGCCAAGGCCUUCUAGAGAUUCUCGAUCCAUGUACGUAUAUCUAGAGUCUAGAUGCAUGGCUAGCAUCUAUAUAUAUGUACGUGCAUGCAUAUGCAUGCAGAUAAACUGUGCAUGUUUGUUGGCACGUAGGGUAUACUGAGGACUGAGCUGAGCAGUGGAAGGAGCCCAGAGGAACCAACAGAUAUUACGUUGUUUGGUUCCUCAUUCUUAAUUUACCUUCAUCGACCCAUUGAUUUGUUUUGGGUUAGAAGAUCAUAGGAGUCCUUUCCCCUGAAGUAUAUAUAUGGACAGUCGUAUACACAUGUUCUUAACUAUAUGGCUCGUCUAUUGGUAAGUCACCUGAGUUUUCUAUUUGGUGUAAGUCAUUUUUCUUUUCACUCCGUGCUACUACUUUUUUCUCUAUCUACACAUGCAAGCUGGCAUAACGUUUUUCUCUAUCUAACCAUGUAUGGAAAAAUGUUUUCUAUAAAUUACUCUACUUAUAUUCAAUAAAUAUUUU
rnacentral:rRNA from 1 species